rnacentral:rRNA from 1 species
AACGAACGCUGGCGGCAUGCCUAACACAUGCAAGUCGAACGGGAUCCUGGCUUCGGUCAGGUGAGAGUGGCGGACGGGUGAGUAACGCGUGGGAACCUGCCCAGUGGUGGGGGGAUAACUGCGGGAAACUGCAGCUAAUACCGCAUGAGCCCGAGAGGGGAAAGAUUUAUCGCCAUUGGAGGGGCCCGCGUUCGAUUAGGUAGUUGGUGAGGUAACGGCUCACCAAGCCGACGAUCGAUAGCUGGUCUGAGAGGAUGAUCAGCCACACUGGGACUGAGAUACGGCCCAGACUCCUACGGAGGCAGCAGUGGGGAAUAUUGGACAAUGGGGGCAACCCUGAUCCAGCAAU